GUCCACGCCGUAAACGAUGGGUGCUAGGUGUGGGGGGUGUCGACUCCCUCCGUGCCGAAGCUAACGCAUUAAGCACCCCGCCUGGGGAGUACGGCCGCAAGGCUAAAAACUCAAAGGAAUUGACGGGGGCCCGCACAAGCAGCGGAGCAUGUGGUUUAAUUCGACGCAACGCGAAGAACCUUACCUGGGCUUGACAUGCACGGGAAUGUCGUAGAAAUACGGCAGCCUUUCGGGGCUCGUGUACAGGUGUUGCAUGGCUGUCGU
rnacentral:rRNA from 1 species